rnacentral:rRNA from 1 species
UGAGGAAUAUUGGUCAAUGGGCGAGAGCCUGAACCAGCCAAGUCGCGUGAAGGAAGACAGUCCUAAGGAUUGUAAACUUCUUUUAUACGGGAAUAACGGGCGAUACGAGUAUUGCAUUGAAUGUACCGUAAGAAUAAGCAUCGGCUAACUCCGUGCCAGCAGCCGCGGUAAUACGGAGGAUGCGAGCGUUAUCCGGAUUUAUUGGGUUUAAAGGGUGCGUAGGUUGUUCGGUAAGUCAGCGGUGAAACCUGAGCGCUCAACGUUCAGCCUGCCGUUGAAACUGCCGGGCUUGAGUUCAGUGGCGGCAGGCGGAAUUCGUGGUGUAGCGGUGAAAUGCAUAGAUAUCACGAGGAACCCCGAUUGCGAAGGCAGCUUGCCAUACUGCGACUGACACUGAAGCACGAAGGCGUGGGUAUCAAACAGG